CGUCGGAAUGGCUGCGGUGUGUUGCGUUGGUUCAUAUCACAGCCAUUCUUGAUGAG
rnacentral:pre_miRNA from 1 species